rnacentral:misc_RNA from 1 species
AGCAGCCGCGGUAAUUCCAGCUCCAAUAGCGUAUAUUAAAGUUGUUGCAGUUAAAAAGCUCGUAGUUGAAUUUCGGGAUUGACGUGAUGGUCGUGCCUUACGGGGUAUGAACUGUUGCAGUCAAUUUCUCACCUCCUGGGGAAAUAUGAUGUCCUUAAUUGGGUGUCAUAUGGAACCAGAACUUUUACCUUGAAAAAAUUAGAGUGUUUAAAGCAGGCUUAUUGCUCGAAUACAUUAGCAUGGAAUAAUAAAAUAGGACGGCAUGGUUCUAUUUUGUUGGUUUCUAGGAUCACCGUAAUGAUUAAUAGGGAUAGUUGGGGGCAUUAGUAUUCAAUUGUCAGAGGUGAAAUUCUUGGAUUUAUUGAAGACUAACUACUGCGAAAGCAUUUGCCAAGGAUGUUUUCAUUAAUCAAGAACGAAAGUUAGGGGAUCGAAGACGAUCAGAUACCGUCGUAGUCUUAACCAUAAACUAUGCCGACUAGGAAUCAGACGAUGUUAAUUUUUUAAUGACUCGUUUGGC